rnacentral:misc_RNA from 1 species
GGUUGAUGAUUGGCUUGAAAGACUGAUUGAAGAGAAUGGGGAUGACCUGUACAGGAUGAAAGGGGUUUUAUCUGUGAGCGAUUCUGAACAACGCUAUGUUUUCCAGGGGGUACAUUCCGUUUUAGAUGGAUGCCCAGGCAAGACAUGGGAACCAAAUGAGAAGAGAAUAAACAAGUUAGUAUUCAUAGGCAGAAACCUAGAUGAAACUGCACUAAGAAAAGGUUUCAAAGGCUGCUUAUGUGAGGAAUAGAUGAUGGAUGCAUGUUAUCUACCGGCAAGCUAUAGUUCAGAUUGAGCAUAAAUGCAUAUUGAUAGCCAUAGCGCGAAUCCUAUGAAACUGUGAGUUCAUUCUGUUAUUGAUAUAGAAUAUGAGCUAAUGUGAUACUGUCCUCUAAUGUGAUAAUGCAUCUCCUCUUUCGGGGACUUGUCUCAUGUAAAAAAAGGUUGUGAUG